ensembl:ncRNA F46C8.17 ncRNA
CGAAUAAAUGCACAUAUUCCCGACCAGCAACUCCCUCGAGGUUCACGAGAACGACCAAAGCAAACUCACAGAUUUUUCUUGAAGAGCCCAAUUGGCUCUAAAACGAGAAACGAGGACCUAUUAGGCGGGUUCGCCCAUC